GAAUAGGCCCAAGCAACUGUUUAGCAAAAACACAGGUCUCUGCUAAAGCGUAAGCUGAUGUAUAGGGGCUGACGCCUGCCCGGUGCUGGAAGGUUAAGGGGAACACUUAGCGCAAGCGAAGGUGUGAACUUAAGCCCCAGUAAACGGCGGCCGUAACUAUAACGGUCCUAAGGUAGCGAAAUUCCUUGUCAGGUAAGUUCUGACCCGCACGAAUGGCGUAAUGACUUGGGCACUGUCUCAACUGUAAAUCCGGCGAAGUUGUAGUGCGAGUGAAGAUGCUCGCUACCCGCGAUUGGACGGAAAGACCCCGUAGAGCUUUACUGUAGCUUAGCAUUGAGUUUUGGUAUUGUCUGUACAGGAUAGGUGGGAGACUAGGAAAC
rnacentral:rRNA from 1 species